rnacentral:rRNA from 1 species
UACGUAGGGCGCGAGCGUUGUCCGGAAUCAUUGGGCGUAAAGAGCGUGUAGGCGGCCCGGUAAGUCCGCUGUAAAAGUCAAAGGCUCAACCUUUGAAUGUCAGUGGAUACUGCCGGGCUAGAGUCCGGAAGAGGCGAGUGGAACUCCUGGUGUAGCGGUGGAAUGCGCAGAUAUCAGGAAGAACACCAACGGCGAAGGCAGCUCGCUGGGACGGUACUGACGCUGAGACGCGAAAGCGUGGGGAGCGAACAGG